GCCGGGAGUGAAAAUAUCUCAUUUAAGUCUUGUUCGUUAACCAUUUAAUAACGCCAUUUAAAGCGCAUCGACGACUUUUGGUGUAGCUAUUAACCAACGAAAAAUAAGUGAUAGCCAUGCAACUUUUAAAAUUAGAUCGUGUGGAUAUUUUAAAUCGAAUUUUAAUAAUAAAAUUAAUUCAUACAAGAGAACAUUUUUAUGAUUUUUUCUACAAAUACUUUAAACAAACA
rnacentral:lncRNA from 1 species